rnacentral:lncRNA from 1 species
AGAGGACUAGCUGUUUAACUAAUUUGUUUCCACAUUUCUCUAGCUAGAGAAGAGGACGGGUUAUUCACAUUUCAUUUGAUGGUCAGAGGCGAAUUGAAAGCUAAGCAGUGGUAAUUCUAAAGAUUCCCCAGGGGAAAAAUAGAGAUGUCUCCUACGUUACCCAUAAUAUGUGGAAGUAUCGACGUAAUUUCAUAGAGUCAUUCGGUCUGAAUGCUACAUGAAGAACAUAAGCCAGAUGAC